UACGAAGGGGGCUAGCGUUGUUCGGAAUUACUGGGCGUAAAGGGCGCGUAGGCGGCCAUUCAAGUUAGAUGUGAAAGCCCUGGGCUCAACCUAGGAAUUGCAUUUGAUACUGUUUGGCUUGAGUUCGGGAGAGGUGAGUGGAAUUCCCAGUGUAGAGGUGAAAUUCGUAGAUAUUGGGAAGAACACCAGUGGCGAAGGCGGCUCACUGGACCGACACUGACGCUGAGGCGCGAAAGCGUGGGGAGCAAACAGG
rnacentral:rRNA from 1 species